UGAAUGGUCCUCAAGAGAACUCGA
rnacentral:piRNA from 1 species